CCUGAUUUAAGCAUUAGAUGAUCCCUGUUGGAUACUGUUGGGCCAUAUUUUGUCUGCUUGAUGAUGUGUCCAACACAUAAAGAUAUGACGAGCACAUGGCAUUGUGAUCUAGCAAUCCAAACCAUAUGAUCUAAACGAUGUCAUGUAGUACCUCAAAAAGCUCAACAGACUUCCGUUCUCAUCUGACCAUUCAAAGGAGGUCAGCAUCUCCAUGAGCUCCACAUCAUUGAAUAACCGCC
rnacentral:lncRNA from 1 species